CCAAGCAAGCAUAAUGGUCCGAUCUAGGGGCAAUACCAUAAUUACUAACCAUUGCCUCAAACAAAUCAAUGCUUUCAUUCACCUUCCCCGCAUGAGCACAAGCAGAUAACAGACUAAGAAAUGUUAUACCAUCUGGCUGAAAGCCAAGCAACCCCAUCUGGUUGAAAAAAGCAAGAGCUCUCUCAUAGAGACCAUGCUGUGUAAAUGCAGCAACAAUGGUGUUCCAUGAGACAAGGUCUGGACUCUCAAUUUGUUUGAACGCUAACUCAGAAUCAAGGAUUGCACCACAUUUGCUGUACAUGGUAAUCAAAGCAUUACAUAUGGAUAAAUUUGAUUCAUACCCAUGUUUGAUAAUGAGUACGUGAGCUUGUCUCCCUUCUUCAAGUAAUGCAAGAGUAGAACAGGCAGUAAGAACCGAAACAAGGGUGCAUUUAUCUGGACGCAAACCAAUCUUGAGCUUCUGUGAAUGUAACUUCAAUGCUUCCUCUCCGCUGCCAUUUUGUGUGUAGCCUGUAAACAGAAACAGGCAUGUGAAGGGACAAGGGAAAGCUAUCUCAUGCUCAGAAUAAUGUCAAGCACUAUAGUACCAUCAACAAGAUUUUGUUUGAUUUACUAAGUUCUGCAAGCACAAACAAGUUUAUGUUUUGGAAAAUUGGAAGCACAUAAGCAAAAAUUCAGCCAAUUUUGAAGUGUAACCUUGUCAAGUUGUCAUUUAUGUCAUGAGCACAAGUUCAGUUAUCCACUAAGCAGUUAAAAGGUUUCUUUUAUUGAUGAGUGAAUUGCACUUGGCAUACCUGUUAUCAUUGCAUUCCAGGAGACAUGAUCCUUACACUGAAUUUGAUCAAAUAAAGUUCUCGCCUCCCCCAUCUUCCCCUCCUUAGAGUACCCUGUGACCAUAGCGGUCAUUGCAACUACAUUUUUCUCUGGCAUCUGCUCGUACAAUUCCCUUGCUUCAUCAAACUUCCCAUUCUCCACAUACCCACUGAUCAGCACGGUCCAAGAAACGGCAUUCUUAUGGGGCAUGCAAUCAAAAAGUGCUCUUGCCCGCUCUAGGUCUCCUUUCUUUGCAUACCCAUCAAUCAUUGCCGUAUAAGAAAUAACAUUCCUCCUCGGCAUGUCUUCAAAAAGCCUACUAGCUUCCUCCAGCCGAUCAUAUUUCACAUAACCUGAUAUCAUAGCAUUCCAAGAAGCAAUAUUUCUCUCCGGCAUCGACCGAAAGUACCUGAAAGCCUCAUCAACCAUCUCAUUCUCGAAACACCCGGCUAUCAUGGAAUUCCAGGACACCACAUUCCUAGCAGGCAUCAAUCCGAACAGUCUCUUUGAUUCUCCAAAGUACCCAUUUUUCCGGUACCCAGUAACGAUAGCAUUCCAUGUAACAACGUCUUUCGUGGGCAUUUCAUCAAACAAUUGGCGGGCGGCUUCAAUCUUACCCGCUCUUGAUAAGUCACCAAUCUUGACGUUGCAAACAUAUACAUCUUGGGUUGAGAAAAGCUUAAACUGUGGAGAAAGCAAGCAGCGGAAAAUGUAACAAGCACCUGAAAUGAGAUUGGCAGGGACCGGAGUUCGAAGGAUAAGUCGCAUUAUUAGCCCUAAUAUAUAUCAACAUCAUUACUUGUUGAAACCUCGUUACAGUGCAAGCAAAGCCAGCUACUAUGUAGGCUCUACUCUAGAUUUAUGCUUAUUUUCUCUUUCUGGGACUUACCAGGCCUAAGCAUACCCCAACAUAUUCUUGUCUAGUGCUGCGACGCGAGUAACUAAAAGCCUCCACCUGUCUAAACUAUCACAAAAGACGAUGGCAGACAAACCAUCACUGCCUUUUGGGAUAGUGCUGCGGAGCGGGGCAUCUGCCUUUCGGGUCUCGUUCUCGUAUAUUGAGUUUUCACAAAUAACACGUUGCCUGUUUGAACUGUAUUCAAUAUAAGCCUGUAUUUGUAGAAGAAAACAAACAAAUCUCUUAUAGCCUUAAAACCACCAUCACAGAACACCAGAGAGAGAUCAAUCGUAUUAACAGGAGACAGGCUUUUCAUGGGAUUUAACAUCAAGACGCAUUUGUUGUUUUAAUGACUAUUGACAAAGUUGAGCUCGGAUAUCAGAAAAUGCACCACAUUCUUGAACAGCAUAUUAACAAUUUUAACGAAUCAUCAAAUCAUCCAGAUCCACAUAACAAAUACAAACUUAAAACUAAAUUAGAUGAAAUAUUGUUCAAUACCAUAUUAGUGAGGCUGCAGACAACCAAAAUAACAAAAAUACAAUCAAGUGUGGACCAACAAAUUGAAGGUUCCCCAAUCUAAGAAACAAAACACCCAAAAGCAUAUCAAUUCAUAAGAGUGUUUGCCUAUAAGGAUAUUCACUACAAACUUGUACCAAACCUACCACCUAUCUAUCUGAUCUGACUUAAUAAUAACAGUACCAAACAAAACACCUCCUUCCUUUCCCAAUUAAGCAUUUUACAUAUCAACCCCAUCCAUCUGCAGCCACCACACAACCAACCCCCCAUCUUCAUUGCAGAGGCAGGUCACUUAAGCACGUUCACCCCUGAUCCUCCUAGCCAGCUGGAUAUCCUUCGGCAUGAUGGUAACACGCUUGGCAUGGAUGGCACAAAGGUUGGUGUCCUCAAACAGACCCACAAGGUAAGCCUCAGCUGCCUCCUGCAGUGCGAGCACCGCAUGGCUCUGGAAACGC
rnacentral:lncRNA from 1 species